AGACAAUCAAUAUGGCAUCGAAAGGCAGCCCUGCCGCGUCCUCGCUGUGUGCUGGAUAGAAGAAGAAACUGCGGUUGCGGACCAAAUUUCGUGUUACAGCGUUGAAGACGACGAAUGCGUUGGGGGAACCAGGACGAGCCGUAACACGCGGGCGAGCAGUAUCUGCUCGAAAUGGAGGACACGAGUUGCAGUGCAGGACACCGACUUUUACUUGGUGUGUGUGAGUGUGUGCCUGUGUUAACAUCAACCAAGGAACUGCUCUGACACUAUUCGUGAGAAAAGAACGAGGCGCACUGCAAAGCAGCUAGCAAGAAGGUGUGCAGAAAAAGGAAAACCAGGUGCUGAACUGUCAGCUGGACACCUCGGAGAACACAAUCAGUGCAGCCAGGAUUGUAAACACAUUGCAGAGCUCUCCUGUCUAAAGUUCAGCGAAGGCGCAGGAGGUCAUUUCGUGUGACAAAGUCUGACCUACGUGUAAGCAAAUAUUUUGUGUGAGAUAGUAUAGAACCACCAGACGACUACUUAAUUAAAAUACAUUGAUUAAAUUUUCUUAGCUGCAAUAAUUAUUUAAAUUGGAGAUUUCCGGGCAGUACUGAGAUCAGCGGAAUGUGGGGAAAUUCUUGUUGAAAGGACCACGUGACACGAAUUAUUUAUGGUCAGAUUUUUCUUUUAGAAUGCCGAAAGCAAGGCAAAACUGUGGAAGAAGUGCAGGCACUACGCUACCAUUUCUGUUCGAGAUCCAAAUCCUUCAACUAAAAUGUGCGCCAGAUUGGUGUGACAGCUGAGAGUGAUAAAUGUUGCUCUACUGGCUGCGGUCCAGUAUAUAUAGCUAUGCCAUGGGGAGUCAAACUGCAAUCAGCUCGAUUAAGGCUUCAUAUCAAAUUUUGGCAAAUUUCAUCACAACACAAGAUCAUUUGGGGUACGUGGUUGUU